rnacentral:rRNA from 1 species
GACCUGCGGAAGGAUCAUUACCGAGUUUUCGGGCUUCGGCUCGACUCUCCCACCCUUUGUGAACGUACCUCUGUUGCUUUGGCGGCUCCGGCCGCCAAAGGACCUCCAAACUCCAGUCAGUAAACGCAGACGUCUGAUAAACAAGUUAAUAAACUAAAACUUUCAACAACGGAUCUCUUGGUUCUGGCAUCGAUGAAGAACGCAGCGAAAUGCGAUAAGUAAUGUGAAUUGCAGAAUUCAGUGAAUCAUCGAAUCUUUGAACGCACAUUGCGCCCCUUGGUAUUCCGGGGGGCAUGCCUGUUCGAGCGUCAUUACAACCCUCAAGCUCUGCUUGGAAUUGGGCACCGUCCUCACUGCGGACGCGCCUCAAAGACCUCGGCGGUGGCUGUUCAGCCCUCAAGCGUAGUAGAAUACACCUCGCUUUGGAGCGGUUGGCGUCGCCCGCCGGACGAACCUUCUGAACUUUUCUCAAGGUUGACCUCGGAUCAGGUAGGGAUACCCGCUGAACUUAAGCAUAUCAAUAG